GACGACGCUGGCGGCGUGCCUAAUACAUGCAAGUCGAACGAGCGGCGGACGGGUGAGUAAUGUCUGGGAAACUGCCUGAUGGAGGGGGAUAACUACUGGAAACGGUAGCUAAUCCCGCAUACCAUCAGAUGUGCCCAGAUGGGAUUAGCUAGUAGGUGGGGUAACGGCUCACCUAGGCGACGAUCCCUAGCUGGUCUGAGAGGAUGACCAGCCACACUGGAACUGAGACACGGUCCAGACUCCGACGGGAGGCAGCAGUGGGGAAUAUUGGACAAUGGGCGAAAGCCUGAUGCAGCCAUGCCGCGUGUGUGAAGAAGGUCUUCGGAUUGUAAAGCACUUUAAGUGGGGAGGCGUUACCAACAGAAGAAGCACCGGCUAACUUCGUGCCAGCAGCCGCGGUAAUAC
rnacentral:rRNA from 1 species